UACGUAGGGCGCAAGCGUUAAUCGGAAUUACUGGGCGUAAAGCGUGCGCAGGCGGCUUUGCAAGACAGAUGUGAAAUCCCCGGGCUCAACCUGGGAACUGCAUUUGUGACUGCAUGGCUUGAGUGCGGCAGAGGGGGAUGGAAUUCCGCGUGUAGCAGUGAAAUGCGUAGAUAUGCGGAGGAACACCGAUGGCGAAGGCAAUCCCCUGGGCCUGCACUGACGCUCAUGCACGAAAGCGUGGGGAGCAAACAGG
rnacentral:rRNA from 1 species